rnacentral:lncRNA from 1 species
CGGGAAUAACCGUUUUAUUGGAUUUGCCUAAUCUUCUUUUUAUUCUGAUUACUCACAAUAAAGAAUUCAAGUUAGAAAGAUAGGUUGGCAGAAACACAUCUCUAUUUUGAGAAAUUUCACUUUGACUGAGUUCACAUCAAAACUGGUUUCAUGAUUUAACAAAACCCACAAAACUCUCCCCAUAGGCUUUUAUGAUAAGAUGCACACAAUAACUGGAUAAGAAAAUGACAGAAUUGACAAAGGUAGCGAAAAAGCAAAGUGUUCGUAUCUCAAAAGCUAUUCUUACCAGGGACAAAAGAGGAAAAACAAGACCUUUUUCUUCUGUUUCCUCUUGGUUACCAAGCCACCGUGGCUGAGCACUGGAGGUUGUCUCGUCAAGGACCAUGGAUGGGAGCUGGACCUGCAGAGUUCAGGAAAAGGGAAAGGAGAAUGGGAUUCCAAAAGGAGAUUGCAGAAAGAGUAUCAUUCCCUCUGAUACAGUGUUGACGGUGGAUCUAAAUCUAGACCCUAUUGGAGGUGGUGCUGGAAAUGUCACUGGAAGGAGCACUGCCAAGUUAGAAGAUGCCUGCCUAUGACUCCACAUGCAGUUAGGCGCAGGUGUCUUCAUCUGGCUGCUGGCAGUUUCUGUGCCAUGAGAAGUUUCUGUGAAAAAAAAAAUUGAUAAAGUUUCUUUCGAAAUAUGGAUUUUAAGUUUCCAAUACAUUUCAAGCCAAAAGUAUCUGACACGGUAGAACCUCCUGGCCUUUGACACACUUUCUUCAUGUGGCUUCUAGGACACCAGACUCUGCUGGUUUUCUUCCUACCUCACUGGUCACUUCCUCUUGGUGCCUUUUGCUCAUUAGAAUGCCCCAUGACUCAUUCCCAGGGUCACUUCUCUUUCCUACCUGCACUCCGUCAAGAUCCCACUCACACUCACCGUUCUGAACACCGUCUACGCUGCUGACUCCCAAUUUUGCACCUCCAGCUGUACUCCAGACCCAUGUGGCCAUCAGCCUCCCUGACAAUUUCAUUUGGCUGUCCACGGUCAUUGCAAAUUCACCACAGCAAAACUCAACUUCUAGCCCACCUCCAAACUUGCGUUAUCUCAGUUCAUCAAAACUCAAGCUUCCAGUUGUGAGAAAAAAAACAGUGACAUAAGGAUGUCAGCUUUGACAUCUCACACAUUUCACUGCUGAUCCAGCAGGACAUCCGUGCCCUCUGCCUUCAAAGUAUAUCCAUAUUUUGGCCACUUCUCAAUACUUCCACCGUCACAGUUCCCUGAACUGGCAUUGUCUCAUGCCUGCAUUAUUGAAAUAACAUCCUCUGUGGUCUCCCGCAUCUCACGAAAUCUUUGAUUCCUGUCGCUGAAUCUUCAAACAGCAACCAGAGUGAUUCUUUUAACAUGUAAGUCGUAUACCACCACCUUCCUCUCCAAGCACUGCAGUGACUCUCCAUUUCACACAAAGUUACAGCCAGAGUCCUUUUCUCCAUGGCUUUGUGUGAUCUGCCCCCAUGACCUGCCCAACCUCAUCUCCCUCUCCUCUCCCUGUCGCUCACUCUGCUUCGGCCACUCUGGCCUGCUUAGUGCCCUGCAGAUGCACCGGGCACGCUCUUGGGGGGGGGCCCUUAUGCUAGCACUGCCUGUGUCUGGAAGGCUCUUUCCCCAGACAUCCACGUGGCUGAUCUCUUACCACCUUGGCCCCUACUCAAAUAUGACUUCCUCAGUGAGGUUUACCGUGCACCCCACUACUACCUGACACCUCCAGUCCUCCUCAACUUCUUGAUUCUGUGCUGCUUUUCUUUAUACACAGUAAUUUCACCUUCCAACAUUUUACCUAAUUUAUGUAUUUUUACAUGUGUGAUGUAUUGUGCAUCACCCCCAUGAGAAUAUAAGCUCCAAUAAUGCAGGGAAUUUUUUAUUGUUUUCUUUAAUAAUAAAUAAAUUUCUGGCACACAGGAGUUUAAUAAAUAUUUAUUGAAUAGAUAGACUUUCUCACUAAAGGCAGGAACAGGUUAAGCUGGGCUGUUGUCACUGCUUCUGCUCAGUAUUGCACUGGAUGUCUGAGGCAAUGCAGGAGGACAAGGAGAAGAAAUGAGCUAUAAAUAAUAAAAAAGGGGAGCCAAAAUUGUGGCUAUGUGCAUAGAAUAUUCUUAUCUACCUAUAAAACCAGGAAAGUCACCAAAGAGAUCUGUAAGAACUAAGGAGAGAAUUCAGUAAGGAGGACAGAUCCACACACAAUAUAUGUUUCUUAAAAAUGAAUAAUAUUUCUAUGUGCCAAAACUAACCAAAUUUAAAAAAUAUAGUCAUGGACGGAAAGGGAUCCUAUUUGCAAUAUCAAAAAAUAGAAUAAAAUCCCUAGGAACAUACCUAAUAUAAAAAAUUCAAAACUUACAUUUGGAAAACUAUCAAACAGAACAUCAUAAAUAAAUUGAAUAGCAUACUAAGUUCAUGAACAAGAAAAUGUAUUAUUA